GCCAUUAGGGAUUUAGGGUUUUAGCUUUUAAGCCUAUAUAUAUAAUCUCAAAGCCUUACCUUUCUCUUCCCCAUUUUCCUCGCAGCCUCCGUAGAAGAACACUACACGAGUGGUUUUGAACUGCAAAAGGAGAUCGAUUUCGAACCCUUUUCACCAUGAGAGCUAAGUGGAAGAAGAAGCGCAUGAGGAGGUUGAAGAGGAAGAGAAGAAAGAUGAGGCAAAGAUCUAAGUAGUCUAAUUUUAUCUUAAAGCUAGCAAUUUGGUCUAUGUUUCUUUAGAUUUUCUGUUGUUUGAUGGAUACUUUACUUUAAAAGGAUUUAAGUUAUCUUUAUCGAAACCUUUUGAAUAUUCUGGAAACAUGUUAUUGUGUUUUCUAUUAAAAGCUUAUGGCUUUGGAUGUUAA